rnacentral:rRNA from 1 species
GAUGAACGCUAGCUACAGGCUUAACACAUGCAAGUCGAGGGACGGGCGCACGGGUGAGUAACACGUAUCCAACCUUCCCUUUACUCGGGGAUAGCCUUUCGAAAGAAAGAUUAAUACACGAUGUAAAGGAUGGGGAUGCGUUCCAUUAGGUUGUUGGUGAGGUAACGGCAAACCAAGCCUUCGAUGGAUGGGGGUUCGGAGAGGAAGGCCCCCCACAUUGGAACUGCGGCCCGUCCCAAAACCCGACGGGACGCAGCAGGGAGGAACACUGGGCAAGCGGCGCUAGCCUGACCCAGCCAAGUAGAGUGAAGAAGCCAGGGUUAUGGGGCGUAAUCUUCUGGUAAAGAAGAAUCGGUAUUAGAUGAAGAAGCACCGGCUAACUCCGUGCCAGCAGCCGCGGUAAUAC